rnacentral:rRNA from 1 species
GAUUGAACGCUGGCGGCGUGCCUAACACAUGCAAGUCGAGCGGCAGCGGCGGGGAGCAAUCCUGGCGGCGAGCGGCGGACGGGUGAGUAACGCUUGGGAAUCUGCCUGUUAGUGGGGGACAACCCGGGGAACUCGGGCUAAUACCGCAUACGCACUACGGUGGAAAGCCGGGGACCGCAAGGCCUGGCGCUAACAGAUGAGCCCAAGUCGGAUUAGCUAGUUGGUAGGGUAACGGCCUACCAAGGCGACGAUCCGUAACUGGUCUGAGAGGACGACCAGUCACACCGGAACUGAGACACGGUCCGGACUCCUACGGGAGG